AUUGAAUGGACGCAAAUCAUUACUAGGAUGGUAAUGACUAAGGAAAGACAAUGGACACCUCAGGAUUGAGGCAUGGAAUAAACAUCAGGAUGAUGUAAUGGACACCGCUCAUGGAACAAGUGAUGCGCGCUAAUUAGGAUGAAUUAGCAGGCUAGGAUAAGGCCAAGGACACCGCUAGGAUGGCGAUGAAAAGGAAUACGCUGAAGGAUACAGCACUGCUAUCAAGGAUUUGAUGCAUGGAGCACUAUUAGUAGCCGGAUUGCUGCGAGUAAGACUAUAGCCCCGAAGAGCUUUUGCUCCUCGGGGUUUUUCUUUU
rnacentral:other from 1 species